UGUAGUGACCUGGUUCAGAUGCAUCCUAUAUCUUCGAUAUUAGAGUGCUGAAAGUUCUCUUCCAGGCCUCUGGCAUCCUCCCAGAGUUGAAGAAUUGCUGGAUCGCGACCACCAACUCAUAGUCGAUGAUUACCCAGAAUCUCCUGAAGAAGGGGGAAAAACCAUUGGGACCUGGCGCUUUAUCCUCCGCCAUAAACCAAAUGGCCUUCCGAAUCUCAUCCAACAUCACCU
rnacentral:lncRNA from 1 species